GAGGAGAGGUUUCAGAUCAGAGCCCAAGGGAGGCCAGGGAGGGGAAGAGAGGUGUCAGCUCUGGGUUCUGGGGGAGGGGACGGAAGGGAGGAGAGGUGACUGCUCAGAGUAUGGGGGAAGCCCAGGACUCCUACUGAGCUGAGCUGAGUGACUAUCCCAUCUGCCCAGCCCCCCUGUGAGCCUGCACAGGCACCAAGACAGUGCCCCAGCCAAGCCUCGGCAGGGGGACACCCUCUUCCUUCACCCCAUAGUAUUCACUGAGCCAAGGAGUGGUGGGAAUAGGGUCCAGCCCCAGCCUGUGUCUUAUGGGGAUAUAGACACUCACCAAAAAACACUCAUUUCCCAACAUAAAAAUCCAAACCUGGGUUUCCACGCACCUAGAAAAUAGAGCUUCCGGAGGCUUCAAACAGUCAGCUGCUCACGGGAAUGACCACUGACUUAGUGACACGUAACAUAGCACAGUGACAGUCCACAUCUCAGAGAGGGCUCCCCUUCCCUCCCCUCUUCCCAUACAGUAAUCUUCUCCAUGGCCUCUGGGGCCCCUGUCAAAUUCUGCAUCUUCCUGUGUGAUCAUGAUUCUAACCUCCUGUGUGUCUCCUAAACAGGACUUAUGGGAGGAAAGGGGCCAGGUGGCCAGGUGACUGUGACUGUACACACAAGAGCAUCUCAAACUAGCAUCCGUGGCGCUGGCCAGGUCUUUCCCAAACACACUGCUGUGCAAAGUCCCCAAAGGCAGCUCACACAGGACCCCUUCGGGAGGACUCACUCCCUCUAGGGUGAUCUGGGGGAAAGUCUGCUCCCAUUCAGACACCUUGAGGAAUUGCAGGUGGCCUCAGAUGUCACCGAAGGUAAUGGAGCUGGAGUAGGGCCAGCUUUUCUAAAAAGCCAGUUGGUCACCUGGAGCUCCAGUCGACCUAAUUCUAUCUGGCCAGGAACCCAAGUAAUGGUCACCGCAAGAACAGAACACCUGUGCCCAGGGCAGGUGACGGUGGUGGGACCUGUAUCCUGGAUAUCCCUGGACAUUCCCAGUUCAGGCCUGUGUCCCAGUCUGCUUAUUAAUAGCACCCCUUCCACUCCCAGAAAUGUCCCAGUUUGGGUGAUAAGUUUUUUUAAAUAUUUUAUUUAUUUAUUCAUAAGAGACACACAGAGAGAGAGAGAGAGAGAGAGGCAGAGACACAGGCAGAGGGAGAAGCAGGCUCCAUGUGGGGAACCUGAUGUGGGACUCAAUCCCGGGACCCCAGGAUCACGCCCUGGGCCGAAGGCAGGCGCUGAACCGCUGAGCCACGCAGGGAUCCCCAGGAUGAUAGCUUUGAAGCUCUGAGCUCAUGACCGCUUGCUGACUGAAUGAUGUCCCUUAUGAGUUACAGUCGGGGAGGGGCCAAGGCCCUGCGGUCAGCCGGGCCGGACACCCUGCGGUGCAGCACCACUGAGUGGGGUGCUCCUGACAGGGGCACCGUGAUGGGACCCGCGGUGGCCAGGAAGACCUCAGCAGGGGCCACACUCCGUGGUCACUAUGGGGUUCCUGGUCUCUGUGGGCCCCACUCAGAGCCCCCGGGUGUGAGCUGCCCCCAGCCCAGGCUGUGAGAGACCCAGGUGUGACCCUGCCUCUAUUUCCCACGCGAUGACAGGACCAGCAAGGGACGGGUCCUCUGGCAGCCCUUGUGCCCAGGAAUCCAGCAGGUAUCAGGGACAAUGUCUUGGGGAAACCAGGAUGGGGACUAGGGCCGGGGGACUUCGGUGGCCAGAGUCACAGAGCUGGGGUCAUCAGACGCCCCCGGGUCCACUCUGGGGACAGAGCGGCGGACGGUCAGCAUGACCCACCGGGGCACCCCCUGUGGUCACACUCUCUUCCUGUGGCCACAUCAACACCCUUGACACAUCCCCAGGUACCCCUGCUCUUCAGCGUCCAGCCCAGAGACAUCUCACGUCAGGGCUGACGGCCACCGAGCGUCCCCCGAGCAUCCGCCGGCUCGAGCUCGGCUGCUCCGGAGCCUGGACCACCCGCAUGUCCCCACCAGGUGCCCGUCCUUCGUGGGGACAUGUCAGGGUCUCCUGAGCGCCCUGGGGGUGGAAAGGGGCCCAGACCCUGCCCGACUCCGAGAGAAGGGGCGCUGGCCCAGGCGCAGGCCGGAGCAGGCCGGGGGAGGAGGGAUCCCGGCGCAGCCAGGGAGCCCCGGCCUCAGGCUCCCCAGGCAGACUCAGGGCCAGUGUGGCCCGAGGCGCAGCACGGAAGAGGCCUCAGUGUGGACACGACCCAGAGCCGAGUCGCCGCCAGGCCUCCCUUCCCUGGGCACCUACUAUGUGGGGGACCCCAGGGUGGGUAGGGCAGGCGCAGCCCUGCUCGGAGUGCUCCCGUCUGGGGGGACGGAAGUGAGCCUAACAGAUCUGUGAGCCGGGCGGUACGGGAGAUGGGGUUCGCGCCUUGGAGAAAAUAAAGUGGGGUGAAGCGCCAGGCCGCAUGUGGCCGGGGUCUCCCACCCCAGCAGCUGGAGGAGGGGGUCAGGAGGAGCCCUGACAGGGGGCCAGGUCCCCUGUAGCUGUAGCUGGAGCUGGCUCCUGGGGGCCUCAGUUCCUGUCUGCACAGCCUGGUGACAACAGUGAGACUUCAACCCCCCAGAGGGAAGGGAGUGACACUCAGAUGGAAAAUGGGUGUUUGCUUGUGUCCAUGGCUGAUUGUUGUUGUCGUUAUCGUUGAGCUGUUCCAACCCCAGCCAGCCUCGGGCCAGCACCCGGGCCCACGGCUGGGCUCCCCGCAGGCCUGGCACCCUCACCCCGGUACAGCUGGCCUGGCGAAACCAAGAGUCCCUGUUGCUCAAAAUAGCUGGGGAAACCCAGACUGGCCCCAGCCCUAGUAGCAGGUGCCUCUACCUCCCCAAAUGGGGGCAGGAGUUCCAGUUCCAGAAGAUUCCACAAGCCCAUCUGGCGAAAGGGCCUGCAUCCCAGCAUCAAGGCUGCCCAAGCCCCUGUGCCCAGGCCUGAGUUGGGCAGGGUUUGAGAUCACAAUCAAUGGUGAGGAGCAGUAUUCUGUUCCAGAACACUGUGUUCGUGUAGAUCCUGCCCCUUCCUUGGGAUACCCCAUGGACUUCCUAAGUGCCACACAGGGAGCUACACCCAACCGUGGGGGACAGCCAGACAUUUGUUGCUUAGAGGCGCCCUCAGUGAACAUGGCUGGCCAGGGCUAGAUGUGGGACACUGGGUUACACCUGACCUGUUGCUCCUGGCCCUCGAACUCUGGGGAUUGGGUCAGAUACAGAGAUAGGGGGUAAAAAUGUGACCCUCACAAUCGCUACCCUGGGAGUCCAGGGUCUGGGUAGCCUGGAAGCACAGCAGUCCCUCAGGAGGCCUCAGGGAGUCCUUCUUCAAUAAGAGGGCAUCAGAUCACUCAGUCCCUCAUCUACCUGUCCAUAUAUCCAUCUGUUCAUCUGUCCAUCCCUUUACCAUCUAUCCACCCAUCCAUUCAUGAAGGCUUCCUGAGGCUUUCUGGGGGCCUGGCCUGUGAAAGGCUCUCAGCACCCCAUAUCCCAGGAAAGGUGGGACUGGUCUAGCCAAGGCCAAAGUGAGACCUAGAAUGUCCUUGCUUCACCUUUGGAAGAGGAGCUUCAAGUACCAUUCACUGCCUAGUCUGACCCUGUACUGGGUGCUCGGUCUAGAUGCCAAGGGCAAAGGUGUGACAGGCCAGCAUGCUUGAAGGCCUCAGACUCCUGUCUCCCAUGCCGCCUGGCCCGCCAUCCUGCUCACCACCCAGAAAGGGCUGGGUCUUGCCCCGUGGAGGAAGGAGAAUCGGACAUAGAUAAAGGCAACUGAUCCCCAAGACCCUACUGAGUGGCUUCUUGUCCCUGGAGGACUUACAAAACAUGGGGACACGUGGUAUUCAGCUGAGCCGCUCAGGGAUUCUGUGAGGCUGACAGCCGGGAUCAUCGUCCCAUUUCACAGGUCGGAAAACUGAGACUCGACGUGGUUAACGUGCAGAGUGAGUGAGAGCAGCUCCUGCAUCUCCUGACUCCCGCCCGACGGAUGGAGAGACUGAGGCCGGCAGAGGACGGAGCCGCCCGCACUCACCCGGCGGGGCUCCAGCCGUGCCCACGGGCGGUGACCUCCCUCUGCCAUUCUGCGGUCCCGGCUCCCUUUCAGAGGUGCAGGAAGGAGCCCCCAGAGGGGACAUCAGGCUGAGCCAGGCCGACCCCAGGGAUGGUUCCUCUACCCCACGGCAGAGGAGGGAGGGCCAGCAGGCAAAGGGCCUCGGGGACACUCUGCUGUGGGGGCCCUGACCCCAGGGUCAGGCGGGCAGGCGUCCUCACCCCCACGCACCCACUCUCUGCCCUUGACCUUGGCUGAUUCGCGUUCCCUCUGUGGCCUCAGUCUCCUCUUCUGUACAAGGAGGAGAUAACUAGUCUCUCCCCGACAGGGUAGGUAUGGGGAUUCAGGACGUUGCCUGUGACGUGCCUGACUCAUGGGGACCCUCAGCAACCCCCAGCUGUUCCUGUCAUCUCCUGGGCUCUUGCCCACAUCUGACAUGCUGUGUGACCCUGGGCAUUUCCCUUCCCCUCUCUGGGCCCCAACCUGCUACUUGCUCAGGGAGAGCUGGAUGAGGAGCCCGGAGGGCCAGAAACUACAAGAAAACUAGAAUUCCUGGAUGAAGGCGUUGCUCAAGGAGGCUCUGGAUCUGCAGGGGCAGCAAGGCCUGAGGUGGGAGCUGGGUGGGGUAGGGGAUUCAGGCAAGGGAGUCAGAGUGGUGGCCCUGCCUGCAGCUGGCCGCCCCUGGGAACCCCCAGGCUAAAGUUAACCCUGAGUUGGCUGAAACCAGAACUCAGGGUAACCAAAAGAGAGAAGUAAAGGGAAGAGAAACCCAGACUGCAACCAGCAGGGCGUGGGAUGUGUGACAAACAGGGCCAGGUGUGCCUGGGGACUAGGACAGGGGCAGUUUCAGGGCUGUAACCGGAUGUUUGUGCAGCUCACAGGUGGGGGUAGCAGAGCCCUUCCCCAACCCAUCCCCCUCUGUGCUGGCCCAGUGGGUCGGUUGGGGUGCUGCCCCCUGGCUGCCUCCCCAAGCUCGGCCCGGGGUCCUGGAAUCCUGGAGGGCCAGGCCUCAAGGGAUCUCAGAACCAGCCAGUGGUGGUCUUCCAUUGCCAGUAGGGCACCCAGGAAAGGGAUGACCAGGGUCCCCCAUGGAAUCAGCACAGGAGGGAGGGCCUGGGCUCUGGAACCCAGCCCUAGGUCCUCCCAGGAGCAGAAUGAACAGAUGAGUGGACCAGUGGGUAAGCAUAAGCGUCCUGACUUCCCAAAACCCCAUGAUUCCAAGGGGACUCAUGGAGACACAGUCUAGCCUUUCUGGAGGAAAUUCAUCCCCUGUGUCCAUGGCCUAUUAAAGUACUUCCCUAACGA